ACACCCUGGGCCACUGAAGUGGAGCGUGCAAACUUCACCACUCAGCCACAGGGCUGGCCCCACCUGCUCUCUUUUGAAACAUUCUAAGUCAGUUGUUUUGUUUUUACCUGUACUCCGUAUUUCUUGAGCAUCUGGAUCCAGCUCUCUUUUUAAUCAUUGUGCUUCAUUUUUUUCCUAGGAGGUUUAGUGCCUACACUCUCUGGCAUGUUUACAUUGGAGCAAAUGGUCCCUCUGGGUCAUUCCUCUGAAAUUUUUAGUCACUUCAUAGUCUCACAGUAGUUUGCUAAUCCCAAAUGCAAUCUGAUAAACCAGUUCCCAAGACGUCAAUUUUAGUUAAGACAGUGGAAAAAUUGGUAUCUUUCACUUUACAGUGAUAUGUUCUGGUAGUUCUGUUGGCUCAUUUCCCAUUUUUUCCCAAGCUCUUAGAAAAUGCAUUCGUAUAAAUAUUCUUCAAUUCUGAAUUAUUCGUAUUAACUUCAUAGACUAUCAUGGAUUAUUUCCAAUCCCAUCCCCUUUAGCUGAUCCUCUUGCAAUUCUGACACUUCUUUUUAUACUCAGGAAAUUCACCAUUUAACAAAUAUUUAUUCAUAACAACAACCAUAAACAAAUGCUAGGAUUCAGGGACACAAAGAUAAAUAAAAUAUUGUCCAUCCUUCAAGGAACUCAUGAUAGGUAAGUUGUCUCUUCCUUAUUUCUUUAAAAGAUAUUCAUAUCCUUUUAUUUUUAUAAUCAUUAAACUUGGCUUCUUACAGAAAUGAGUAUAUUGUCUUACAUCCUUGGAAUAAUCCUCACCAUAGGAUUAUCCUAAGGCUUAUAUUAAGGUGAAAAAAAUGAGGUUAUAUGGUCCCCAAAAGAAGUGGUUUGUGGUUUGGGUAUAAUUUGCUUAAUAUUUCCCUGUGUCUAUGUUGAAAAGACUUCUUGUUUCAAGUUAAAACACUAUGGCUAUAAAUGAGAGUAGACUAUUUGUUUCACAUUUGGCUGCCAUAAUUGAUAUAGAUUGUCUAUUCCAGAAACAUACAGCCAGAAGUGAGUCAACAGCUAAAUGGAACAGAAACGAGAAAAAAAGUCUCAAGAAAUCUUCUAAGGCAGUAAUAGCCCCCAUCUGGAAUCUUCCCCUCUUCUGCAAGAGAUUUUGCAGUUAAUUAGAGUGCAGUGGGACCAGAGGGAGCUCUGGUCUGCAUGGUACAAGUUGACAGUAACUCCAAGUCUGCCCCACGCUCAUCUAUUUCCCUUAUUGGCCUUUGAGUUAGAACAUGGAAGGACCUCAUCAAAAUAUAUAUGUUUAGUCACAGAAUUUUAUUGCUGUAAGGAUCUUACCAAUCAUUAUACCACAGAGGUUCCCAAGCCUUGUCAAGAGUUGGAACUCCUUUUCAACCUCAACAUUUCCUGGAUUCCCAUUCGGUAGAACUUAAACUUACAGCAUCCAUAGAUUGAGAAGGUGUAUGCCAACAUGAAUUCACAAUCAUUUACAUGAAUGUAAACUCUAUUAGUCAGAACAGCAGUUACAUAUAUUUGAAAUGAAUAACUAUACUUAUAUGCGUGAGACUUGUCAUUGAUUUCAUCUGUAGCCUACUAGAUGUACACAUGGAUUUGGAGUCUCCCAGGAGCCUGCAUCUUGGAACCAUUGAUCUAAUCUAAUCUCUUGUUUCAACAGAUGAAGAUAAAUGUGGUUCAUGGAUAUUAAGUGACUUUCCAAGGACACAACUAGCUGGUGGCAGAGUCCAGUUCAUUGACAUCUUUUCCACUGUACCACAGCUGUCUUAAACUUUCCUGAAAUUAUUCAUCCAGAUCAGCAGAGAGAAAUAUCAUAAAUAAGUUAGCUCAGAGGAAUCUAUAAUGUGUGUGCUACACAUGGGAGGACAUGCUCCUAUAUUUAAUUAAAAAAUUACCUUUCAGUUAAUCAUAUUGUGUAUAGAAUUCUUGCAAAACUUUUCCCACUUGACAACAUAUCUUGAGGAUUGCAAAGGGGUAGAGACCUAUGUUAAGUACUUUUCAAGCCAUAGAGUAAACUUGGAAAAUAUUGAAUUUCUGGCCACAGAUAAUAGCCCCCAAAAAAGCUGAGCAGUUUUUUAGAACCUUAAAGAUUACGGAUUUUUGACAAUGCACAGGCGCAAAAGUCAGCAAGAAUGGACAUCCUCAACUUCUGCCAAGUCAGGAGAAGCAGUCUGGCUGCCGAGUUGAGAAAGGAAAUGAGAAAAAUCACCAGCCAAAUAAUACAUUAUAAUAUUGGCAGACAUAGGAGGAGGAGUGUGUCAAAGAUAUUAAAAAGCCAUUCAGCGUUAGAAUGACUCGAUUCAGCUGGGGAAAGAUGAAAAGAACAAUUGGUAUUUCUUGGAUAUUUUUUAAUGUUUAGAUACAGGAGGGUGUCUCAAGAGUAGCCAGGUCUGCAGCUGAAGGUUUGUCUGAGUGAUUGAUAUGAGGUGAAAGAUGCUGACCUGAAUGCUGUUGAAAUCUCUGCUCUCCCUGGAUAACCCACGUCUGCCAGUACUGCAUUGGCUUAGAAAACUGCAAGCGUUCAACAGGUCAGCUUUAGGCCUGUCUUGAUCUGAAUGACCCUGGGGAGUCUAGGUUUAUUCUGAUUCCCAUGAAAAUUUGGGUCAUUUUGGGGGAAAUCUUGCAUGGUCCAAUCAUAUCUUUUGUGUGGAUAUAGUAAUAAUGAAGUUUCUUCAGUUAGUUCCAACAGUGUCUUAAGAAUCAAGGCUGUUUAGAUGUUAUGUGUGUCUAUUUUCCAUAGAUAGUGGAACUAUCUUAUGAAUAAAGUUUGCCAUCUUCAUCUCAACCAAAUGAUUUGACACUACGAGUUUCAUAGGCAAUCUUAGAGAGUAUAGAGUCAAAUAUGAGCAAAUCCAUUCCCACUACUGGAAGAUGUAACUCACCCUCUGUUGUCUUUGGGGACAGCAUAUGUGAGUCUUAGAGAAGCAAAGAGUAGAUAUAAUUGGUCUUGACAGAAAAGCUGUACAAACAGAUCACAAUUAAUUAUGUAGCCCCUGCAGUUGAAUACAGUAAAACUGGGGUCCAGGGAAUGUUGCUUUGCAUCAUGUUCCUCUAUCCUCUCGUUCCCAAAACUCUUAGGCAUGGUAGGGAGGGAACAAAUGGUGUUUGCCAUGGAGCAGAAAUCCUUUCUCUUCCCAUUAACUCUCCCGUUAGAGCUGUAGUGCUGGCAGCGGUCCUGAGAAGGGCUCUGAAAAGUGGGCUGGUUAGCAGGAGCAUUUUCACUGCAGGAAGAUUCGGUUGCCUUGGUGAAGUCCCCACGCAUCUGAAGAGUGGCUCAUCUGUUUCCGGCUGAGGAUCACUUGUGCUCACCCGGGCGUGGCCCCCACGAGAAACCUGGGAGUCUGGCAAGCUGGUGCCAGCUGAACUGUGAACCUUUUAAGAAAAAGCAAAUAAAACAGACAAUUUUAUUCGCUACAAUUCCAGUAGGACUAAUUCUUGGAGAAAAAGCAGUCUGAGAAGACUUUUCAGAGUCAGGGGCCUGGGGCAGGCAUGGUAAGUUGAGAAGGAGGAGGGCAAAGGGAGAGUGGAACCAAGCAGUGAGGGGACUGGCGAAAGUGGGUAAGAGAGUCCUAGCAGUUGCCUUGGUGGAAAGAGUUGUCUAAAGAAGAUUGUAAGAAUGUGUAGAACCUCUCAUCCGGCUCCUUUAAGAAAAUCACAAUAAAUAUCUAUGUUCUGCUCUUUUCAGUGUGGCAGCCAGUAGCCAUGUGUGGCUAUUGCCUGGUCCGAAUUGAGAUGUGCAGUAUGUGUAAUAUGCACACUGGAUUCUAAAGACUUAGUAUGAAAAAGAGAAGGCAAAAUAUUUCAUUGAUAAUUUUUUUACAUUGAAUACUCAUUGAAAUUGAUAACAUUUUUAAUCUAUUGGGUUAGAUAAAGUAUAUCACUAAGAUUAAUUUUACCUGUUUGUUUUUACUUUUUAAAAAAUGCAGCUACUAGAAAAUUUAAAUGAUCUAUGUGGCUCACAUUGUAUUUCUAUUGGACGGCACUGACCUACCUCAUUCUUCAAAGCUUUUGAAGUUAGAUUUGUGUUUAUUUCGGACGGGUGUUGGUGUUACUGCAGGGUUGUACAAGCAAACACUCACAUCCAUGUCUAUUGAUGGCCAAAAUGGAAAGGAGGGCCAGACUUGAUAUAUGUCAGGCUCCAAAAGGAGCUUUGUCAGUUGUCUCAGGUAAGUCUGUGUGUGUGCUGAGACCUACAGACAUUUAGAAAGAUUCAGAAUCCGAGAAACAUCCAGGAGAAAUGGUGCCUUAUUUAAAUAUAUCAAAAGGAGACCAAGUUUUCCUACAAUAUUGGAACUGAUGUUCACAGAGAAAACUCACAGGCAAGGAUCAGAAACAAAGGCGAUGCUCGAGUAAGGAUCAGAGAGAGGACGGAGUCUUCUCUGUGAGUGUAACUACGUGUCAUGCAGUAAGAAUGCCUGAGAGGGAGGAGAAAGAGGAAAAGAAGAAAAAAAGGAGGAGAAGGAAGGAAAUAGACAGAACUGAAUUGAGAAAAAUAGCCAGGUAAGACUAGACAUGGUUCACGUGGUUUCUAAUAGAUCUUGUGAGUCUGAAACAGCUUGAGAAAUGAUUUCUCUAUGGAACAGAAAUCCUCUGUAAAAUCACCACAAGCUAAAGAAAAGCACAGAUUUCCUAAAUGUUCAGGAGUAGCAGGCUUGAGUUUACUUAUCUGAGAAAUGACUUUGAGGCUGCCCUAAUUCUUUGUUAAGACAAGACUGGGGAGGAAGGAGCAUUUGCACAAGUGAUGAGGAAGAAUGGCUCCCGGGGUCCUCAAGGUCUGUAAUGCUUCCCAUGGAUGCUUUCCCUCUUCUCUAUAGAAGGUCAGGGUGGCCUGUUUGAGGGAGUCUCUGGCUACCUCCCUGGCAUGGUCUUAUUAGGUAGCAUUGUACAUAACUCAAUUAUCCAGAGCACAGUUGGGCCCUUCAAGCAACCGGAAUAGCAUCUUUCACUUAACUUUAUGGCAAGAAAAGACUCAUUCCAAAGAGUGAGUAGAAACACGUAAAACCUUUCAAGAGAGUUCAGCCUGUGUUCUGGGUCUGAACAAAUUCAGUCCGAUUUCUUAUCCCGUAACUCCUGUGUCUAUGGAACUGGGCAAUGAAAAUGAAUGUUCUAAAUAAUGAUCUGAGGUGCUGUAAAGGUCUGAAGUGCCUCACAAAUCAUCAAAGAAAGAUUAAAUUAUGUCCCAUACUUAUCAAAGCCGAAAAGGGAACUAAUAAUGUAUUUUACAAACAGUUGCUCCAGGAGCUGAAACUGAAAACAUGACAGUGUUUAACCCCAAUUUAAUUAGAAAAAUUCACAAGAAGGCCCCACUCCUAAAGCUUUCCAGUUAACUGAGGGUUCUUUUGCAUAUUGAGAAUAGGUAUGAAAAGCUGUUAUGUAUUAGGUUUUCUUUGAGGCAGACCUCCUGAAUGGAAUCAGCAUUUUAACCACAUCUCCAGGGGAUUCCUAGGCACACUGAAGUGGAGAAGCCCUGGCCUGGGGGACUGAUCUAUCUGUUAGAGAUGGAGGCGCCCCCUUUCCAUGAACAGGCCCUCCAGGGACCACAGCUAAUGCUUAUUUUAUGUUCUAGGCACUCUGCUAAGAACCUUACAUGACUUAUCUCACUUUAGUCCUUCAACAGUCCUAUGGAGGCCGUAUAAAAAUUACUCCCAAUUCACAGAUAAGGAAACUGAGAUACAAAACCAUUAAGCAAUUUGCCCAAACUCAUGCACACAAAGUUGUUGAACCAGGGUUCACAUUUGGUUGCCACUUCUUAGUACAGGACACUAUUCAGUCUUUCUUACUCAGGCUUUGGGUCAUCUACAAGGCGGGCAGAUGUGGAGUUCUGUGGGUCCUACCCCUGUGUUUUUUCUUUAUCCUUUCCAGAAACCCUGGAAUUUCCUGCUUGAAAUUCCCACAGAAUCUAGGUGGUGGAAUGACUUCCAAAAGUUAAUGGCAUAAUCCUGGGCGCAGUGCAGCCUUUCUGACAUUCCAUAUUAUAUUUUAUAAUAAAAAAAUACCAAAAAGCAAAACUGAGACCGUCAUAUUUAUCUGAAAUCCCAUCUUUCAGACAUAAUACAUGUUAAGUUUGGAGGUUUACUCUUAAAUGACUCAAAAUAGCUCAACUAAAGGGGACUUAUUUAAAAGUAGGGAGAGGAGGCAAACAGUGACACCCCUCCUUCCACCCAUGAAAGUCUCACGAAGCACAUAUUCUCUCUUUCUUGUUUGCUAUUCCUCUCCUUUCUGCAGACAAGCCUCUCUCUGCUUACUCUUACUCUUCCACUUGCAGGUGAAUGAAAAUGGCCACUCCAGCCCCGAUUCAACAAUAGCCUUCAGUUCACAUAUCAACAAUUGUGAAGAAGAUUUCAGCAGUUGUCAUUGGUUGAUCUGCUUGGUCCUUACUCCAGUUGCAACUUGUGGCCUCCUUUAUUUGAUUACCUCCCCUAAAGAUAAACCGACAUUAAUGUUUCUCCCUUAGGAUAAUAUUAUUUGACUCUUAAAACAAUAUGUAAAGCUAGCCUUUAGUUUGUUACACAUCAUUGUCCCAUCAACCCUUUACGGGGAUGUCCUAAGGGAGGUGAAUUGAUCUUCCAAGCUAUGUGAUGUGCCUGAGACCAGAAUACCCAGGUAGGUUGGAAUGGUGGGACUGGGGUGAAGGAAGAAUGUAAGAGACGUCAAGUUUGUCUACUCCUAAAGUAGUUGCAGUUCUUAAAAGAAGAGAGAUUUUCUUACCACUGUGAUCUCUAAGGAGGGCGAGAGAAAUCUGUAUGGGAAGUUGACUCUUUGUCUUCAUUUCUUGUUUUAUAUCUAGCAUUGAAAGGAAGGACCCGUAUCUCCAUUAAAGUUGAAGAGAGGGUAAUAUUGACUCUCCUCACAAUUACUUCCUGAGACUUAGAUAUGAUUCAGGAUAGAACACUCCCGAAAUAUUAGAUUGAGGAGAGAGUAAGCUCAUUGAGAAUCAUAGGCCAAGACAUUUGGAGGAAUGCAGGAUGGUGGAGCUUGGCUGCACAGCUCAGAGAUGUCCUUCUGUCUAGGCAGUAGCCUCUGUGGUUUGGUUCAACAGGGUUUCUUAAGCUUCCCUCAUGAUAAACAUCACUUGAUGCAUUUGCUACAAAUACACAUUCCCAGGCUCCUUCUGAGACCCACUGAUUCGGACUCUUCAGGCAAGGUCUGAUGAUUCUACUAUCAGGGAAGUUUGGAAAACACCAAUUUUAAAAGGUCUGUGGGAAGGCCUCUUGUAGGAGACAGCUUUUAGGCUAUCCAGCCAGCCUAUAAGAUACCCACCAAUACAACUCCUUACCUGUAGGUAGGACCCUAGCAUUCAUGUUUGAGCUAUGUCACCCUCAUGUCCCUGGCCAUGAAGGGAGCCAGGUUGUACCAGACAGAUUAUCUGUUGGCAAAUUUAAAAAAUCACCGACACUUUACUGGAACCUUUAUGUUGAAGAUCAAUUGAAGUUAAUGCAUCUUCUAUUUUAAAAAUGCAAAUUCUUCUGAAAAGAGUGAGGCUAUCAAACACUCAUAAUUGAAUACAAAUUACUUUAACUGGAUUGCUGCAAAGUGAGAGAAUAGGAGUAUUAUUUGUAGGGCAAAGGGUGAGGAGUGGGCAAAGAAGGUGACGUGGGGAUGGACAGACUAGACGAAGAGUCACAGUAAUGGUUUUACAGACCCACAGGAGAGCAUGAAGACUGGACAUGGUCAUUUCUAUCUGGUUUUUACAGGUUUUCUCUUUGCGAUAGUGAGAGUGCAAGUAUUUCCAACUUAGGUGGAUCCGUCCACUAUUUGUGACACAGUGUGGAUGUCAGAUGGCAUUUAGGACCUGUCAGGUUCAGUUUUUGUUGCUGUGAAAAAUAGCUGGUUAAGAGUUUUGAAUUGAAGCCUAAAAACGUGAAUGGGCUAUUUGAAGAUACCUCAAUGUUUUCAAUAGAGUUGACUCAGCUACAUUCGACUACAGAUCUUCGUCAACUUGUGGUGAGGUUACAUCCUGAUAAACCCAUUGUAAACUGACAAUAUCAUAAGUUGAAAAUGCAUUUAAUACACCUAACCUACCGAACAACAUAGGUUAGCCUAGCCUACCUUAAACGUGCUCAGAAUACUUAACGUUAGCCUAUAGUUGGGCAAAAUCAUCUAACACAAAGCCUAUUUUAUAAUAGUGUUGAAUGUCUCAUGGAAUGUAUGGAAUACUGUACUGAAAGUGAGAAACAGAAUACUUAUAUGGGUAUACCAACAGCUGUAAGUGUAUUGGUUGUUUACCCUUGUGAUCUCGUGGCUGACUGGGGGCUAUAUAGCUCACUGGGCUGCCCAUGAGAAAGUAUCCUACUGUAUAUUGCUAGCCCAGGAAAAGGUCAAAAUCCAAAAUUCAAAGUACAGUUUCUACUGAAUGCAUAUUGCUUUCGCAUCAUUGUGAAGUCGAAAAUUUAUAAAUCGAACCAUCAGAAGUCAAGAACCAUCUGUAGUCAACUCAUUGCACAAUUAAUUAUGUUUAGCUCUUGCUCAUCACACAGGCAAGACAAAUUCUUCCUCAGCAGAGAUUUGACAAUGGGUCCCUAACUCUUAAGGCUGGGUGCAUGUAUCUCUUCUGGGUUUCUUGGUCCAUUUUUCCCUCUUGUUCAUAUUUAAAAGGCUUAUGGACUCCCUCAGAAAGUUGUCUCGUGUUCCAUUAUGAUCUCAAUUUCUAGACUUUCCUAUGGAGUCAGUAAGUUGUUAAAAGCUCACCUUUUGCUUCCUGAAGUUUCUCUUUUGUUUUCUGAAUGUUUAGUCCUCUUGGAAUUUCACUCUAAGGUUCCCAGAAAGCCAAAAGUGUGAACUUACUCUAGGCAGUUUGACGUAAUUAAAAUUUAUCUGAUGGUCUCGGUGAUACAUUUGGAAAAAGAGUAUCUGAGGACUGGUCCUGGAAGUCCAAUCCUAGAUCCCUGGCUGAGUUCACAGAAAAACACAUUACAAGGAGGACACAUCUGAUCUCUUGGAGCCAAAAAGCCCCUGAGGCUGUAUUCUGCCCGAGAAUGGCUGGCUGUGGCCCUCUGGUGCUGGUUCUUCACCUGUGGGCUGGGAAGGCAGAUGGGAGUGAAGCUUAAAAAAUCUGUGCUUUCUUAGUACCUUCUUAACGUGGGGUAUAACAUAAUGCGGCAAGUUGCAUGUAUAAUAAAUUCCUUUUUAUUAAUUCA